CGGUCACGUUCGUUGCCUUCAGAGUAUAUUUAAAAGAAUACCGUGCAACAAUAAAGGUGCAAAGUUAAAAAACAAUGCAGCAACUUUAUGUGCAAACAAAGUAUUCAAUAUAUACUCAUUAUAGUGAAACGCAAUUAAGCAAACAGAUCACUCCACGAACUAAGAACGGCCAUGCACCACCUAUCACGCAAUCAUGAAAGGACUAGCAUAUUUGAUAUAAGAAUUGCUAUAUAUAAUUUUAAAAAAAAAUUAUACAUAGUCUUAUAAAAACCUGUCAAUCCUCAGCGUGUUCGGACCUGGUAAGAUUUCCCGCGUUGAGUCAAAUUAAGCCACAUGCUCCACGCGUUCUUGUGGUGCCCUU
rnacentral:rRNA from 1 species